GUGUUGUCACGCUUCCGGCGACAACAUAGCAUGCCCAAAACUUCCUAACCUGUAUGUCUUUGGAAUGUGUGAGGAAAUCGGAGCACCUGGAGGAAACCCACGCAGACACAGGGAGAAAGUACAAAGUCCUUACAGACAGAGGCCGGAAUUGAACCUGGGUUGCUGGUGCUGUAAUAGCGUUAUGUUAUCUGCUACACUGCCGUGCCUGCCUACUCACUACCAUGCCUGACCACUUCCUAGAACUCGGUCCUGCUGAUGGGAGAGAACGUUACCAUGGGACUGUAAUGGAGUGACCCGGUAUGCUGUCUGUAAUGUAUGACUAAAUUAUUACCAUGAAGAAUUUCAGAAGAACGUGACAGUGAAUUAAAAUUCAGACCAAGGAAUUCAAUUAAACAAUUCCCUAUGGGAGCUGGUGACAAAACAGAUGUGAUUGUCAGAGGAAGCUCAAAGGAAAGAAUUGUGUAAUUAAAGACACUGCCUGAUCUCUGAGUGUUUCCAGCACUUUCUGUUUGAUUCCUGAAUCAGAAGACCAGCAACCGACAGAGGUAUCGAUUAAUCUGUCUCCUCUGAUCAGCCCCCAAAGCUGCAGGAAGCAGAGCAGAUGCUGCCUGACCUGCUGAGUAUUUCCAGUAUUUACAGUUUUGGUUCACAUAUCCAGUAUCUGCAGUUUUUGCUUUGGAAUUAUUCAGAUGCUGCCUGACCUGCUGAGUUCCUCCAGCACUUUGUGUGUUGCUCCAGAUUCCAGCAUCUGCAGUCUCUUGUGCCUCCAACCAAAUCUUGUUGCUGUUUAUCCCCCACCCUGGUCCAUUCCUCAUCAACCCUUUUACCUCCAUGUGCCUACCUUUUGCAAUCUCAAAUGUUGGGUUAACAUACUUCUUCAAGCAUUGACCCUGAGAAUGAACACUAUAGUCUCAUGAUAAUUAUAAUCCCCAUUAUAAUGUGGGGAAAUGUAACAUUAUUCAUGUUAGCAGGAAGAAUAGAAAAUCAGAAUUGUUAAAUAGAGAGAAAGGGGCAAGGGAGAAUAACAGACCAAUCAGCCUAACCUCAGCACCAGGUAAGUGAUUGAGAAAAUUUUGAGGGGCAGGAAUAAGUGUUAUUUAGAAUGAUGUGCAUUAAUCAAAGACUGUUGAUGUGUAUUUGUUAAGGGUAGGUUAUUUCCGAUUGAAUGAGUUGAAUUUCCUGAGGAAGUAGGCCAUUUGGCCUAUAAUACUUAUGGUGGCUAUUUGGUAGGGCUAUCCAAUUGGUCCCAUUUCCUUGUUCUGCCCAAGUUUUCUCCUUCUAUGAGAUUUUAUAGGUGGGGAUGAGGUAAUUAGUCUGUAUGAUUUAGGUAUUAGAUUAACAUUGACUAUGUAUAAAAUGGCUUUUGGGAUCUUAAAACUACGACUUAGAUGCCUCAGCCAAAUUGGCCAGUUACUUGCAAACCUGGACUCACUGCAGUUUAACUAGAAGGUGACACACUUUUACUUUUUUCUGUCAACCAUUGGAAAUCCAACAGACAAAUCAUAAAAAACACAGAGAACUUCUUGCAUCCUAAGCAUUGCAAAUCUUUAUUUAGGAACUGCUCUGAUACUGUUGAAUGUUAAUACAUUUUCCUCAGUUGUGACGUGUGAAAUAUUGCCUUUUAUCAAAUGAAUCCAACUGAAAAUAAAAGUACACAGUUGAUGGCAGGACACUUAACCACAUUGAUGUAGAAAGGGAUCUUAGACUCCAAGUCCAUAGCUCCCUGAAAGAGGCUGCACAAUUUGAUAGGGUGGUGAAGAAAGCAUAUGGCAUGCUUGCUUUUAUUGGUCAAAAUACUGAGUUGAAGAUUCAGGAAGUAAUGUUGCAGCUUUAUAAAAAUCUAGUUAGGCUGUAUCUGGAGUAUUGCAUUCAAUUCUGAUCGCCCACUAUAAGAAGGAUGUGGAGACUUUGAAGAAGGCGCAGAAGAGGUUUAGAAGGAUGCAGCCUAGACUAGAGGGCAUAUGCUAUGAGAGGCUGGAAAAACUAGGGUUGUUUUCUGUGGAGCAGCGGAGGCUGAGGGGAGACCUGACAGAAGUUUAUAAAAUUAUGGGAGGCAUAGAGAGGAUAGACAGCAAGUACUUUUUUCCCAGGAUCAAAAUGUCUAAUAAUAAAGGGCAAGCAUUUAAAGUGAGAGGGAGAAAGUUCAAAGGAGAUGGGAGGGACAAGUUUUUUUACACAGAGAGUGGAAGCCUGGAAUGCGCUGCCAGGGGUGGUAGUGGAGGCAAAUACUAUAGAAGUGUUUAAAAGGCUCUUAGAUAGGCACAUGAAUAUGCAGAGAAUGGAGGGAUAUGGACUUGUGUAGGCAGAAUGGACUAGUUUAGUUAACAUAGAACAUAGAACAUAGAACAUUACAGCACAGUACAGGCCCUUCGGCCAACAAUGUUGUGCCAACAUUUUAUCCUGCUCUAAGAUCUAUCUAACUCUUCCCUCCCACAUAGCCCCCUAUUUUUCUAUCAUUCAUGUGUCUAUCUUAGAGUCCCUUAAAUGUCCCUUAUGUAUCUGCCCCCACAACCUCUGCCAGCAGUGCGUUCCACACACCCACCACUCUCUGUGUAAAAAGCUUACCCCUGACAUCCCCCUUAUACCUUCCUCCAAUCACUUUAAAAUUAUGUCCCCUCGUGUUAGCCAUUGUCGCCCUGGGAAAAUGUCUCUGACUGUCCACUUGCUUUAUUCCUCUUAUCAUCUUGUACACCUCUAUCAAGUCACCUCUCAUCCUCCUUCUCUCCAAAGAGAAAAGCCCUAGCUCGCUCAACCUAUCCUCAUAAGACAUGCUCUCCAAUCCAGGCAGCAUCCCUGGCAGUUAGGCAUUUAAUUACUAGUUUAAUUAGUUUGGCACAACAUUGUGGGCCAAAGUGCCUGUUCCUGUGCUGUACUGUUCUAUGUUCCAUGUUCUAAACAUGAACAAUUCAGGUCCUUCUGAGACGAAGUGGUCCAGCUAACUGAUGAUUAACUUGGAACCCCAUUUGAUCUGAUGCAAAAAUAUGAAAAGAUUCAGAUAAAAUGGUGAUCAAUUCUAGUGAGAAAUGGUAAAAUCAAUUCUAGUGAGAAUCUUUGAUUUACAACCUCACCCUAUCACUGCAAUUUUUGGAUUAUCAAGGAUAGAGUCUGGGCAUUUAUCUGCUUCUGCUUACCGGAUGAUUGCCUUUGUUACAUUAAUGGCCAAGCGAUCCAUUUUGCUUAAGUGGAAGGAUCCAAUACCCCCUAUUACUUUUCAAUGGUUCCCUCAAACUAUAUCAUGUUUAAACUUGGAAAAAAUUAGGAGUGGUACUGUUGAUCCUUCGCUUAAAUUUGAAGACACUUGGAGUCCAUUUAUUCAAUAUUUUCAUAUGAUAUAGAUCCCUUUUCAAUAACUUUCCAAUUUAGAGGAACGGAGUUGACAACAUAAUAUUGCUCUGUUUCUACUGAGAAAUUUCAGUCCAGUCUUUUUUUUGAAAUUUUUCUUUUUUGUUUGGUUUGACAUAUUGUUUAUAAUUUUUUUAUUGAUUUGGUUUUUUUUUCUUUUCUAUACACAAUAAAUCUUUUUCUUUUCUUUCUUUUAUAUUAUAUUCAAUCACUAAGAGAUCAUGAGAUCUACAGUUUUUUUA